GGCCUCCCCGACGCCGCCGCCGAGAGCGGGUCAAAGGUCGUGCUACGCCUCCCCCGCGUCUCCAAGGCUACGCCGAGCUGCACUUCCGCUUCCUCCUCAGGAAGGACGUUCCCUGAGCGCAAGUCCUCUGGCCCCGCCCGUAGCGCGACGAACCUCGGAGCAGUUCCCUGGGCGGAGUAAAGGGAUUAAGCUCACAUAGUGACCCAGGGGACAGACUCCUCAAGGCUAUUCACAGCUGCACAGGAUACAGCUUGGCUUCAGAGCCCUCAAGUCUGACCUGAGAAGACAGAAGAUAAUUGCACAGUUCACACACAGGUGGUGUGGAGAUGCCCAGGUUAUCUGCCUGGUCACUGUAGAGCCUUGCUGUUGCUGGAGAUGACAUGCAGGGCCAGAGCAUGGUCACCAGACUAAGAAAUCUGCCCUCCCUGAUAUCAACCCUGGACACCCACAGCUGACAGGAAGGACCCAGGCUCUGUCCCUGCCACUGCCUCUUAAAAAUAUUCAGAAUGUGA